rnacentral:pre_miRNA from 1 species
UUGAUACUCCCUUCGUUCCAAAUUACUCGUCGCAGAAAUGGAUAUAUCUAGAACUAAAAUACAUCUAGAUACAUCCAUACCUGCGACAAAUAAUUCGAAAUGGAGGGAGUACCUU